rnacentral:rRNA from 1 species
UACGUAGGGACCGAGCGUUGUCCGGAAUCAUUGGGCGUAAAGAGCGUGUAGGCGGCCACUUAAGUCCUGCGUGAAAUCUUGCGGCUCAACCGCAAGCGGUCGUGGGAAACUGGGUGGCUAGAGUGCGGGAGAGGAGAGUGGAAUUCCUGGUGUAGCGGUGGAAUGCGCAGAUAUCAGGAAGAACACCCGUGGCGAAGGCGGCUCACUGGCCCGAUACUGACGCUGAUGCACGAAAGCGUGGGGAGCAAACAGG